UGGGGAAUAUUGCACAAUGGGGGAAACCCUGAUGCAGCGACGCCGCGUGAGUGAAGAAGUAUUUCGGUAUGUAAAGCUCUAUCAGCAGGGAAGAUAAUGACGGUACCUGACUAAGAAGCCCCGGCUAACUACGUGCCAGCAGCCGCGGUAAUACGUAGGGGGCAAGCGUUAUCCGGAUUUUACUGGGUGUAAAGGGAGCGUAGGUGGCAAGGCAAGUCAGAUGUGAAAACCCGGGGCUCAAACUCCGGGAUUGCAUUUGAAACUGUCUGGCUGGAGUGCAGGAGAGGUAAGUGGAAUUCCUAGUGUAGCGGUGAAAUGCAUAGAUAUUAGGAGGAACACCAGUGGCGAAGGCGGCUUACUGGACUGUAACUGACACUGAGGCUCGAAAGCGAUGGGGAGCAAAAGCAGGAUUAAGAUACC
rnacentral:rRNA from 1 species